GCUUUGAGGCUCAGUUGGAAGAGCAUUGUGCUAGCAACGCAAAGCUUGUUGGUAAAAAUCCCAGGGAAAGCA